rnacentral:rRNA from 1 species
GAUGAACGCUAGCGGCAGGCUUAAUACAUGCAAGUCGAGGGGCAGCACGGUUAGCAAUAACUGGUGGCGACCGGCGCACGGGUGCGUAACACGUAUACAAUCUACCUUAAACAGGGGGAUAGCCUUUCGAAAGAGAGAUUAAUACCCCGUAAUAAAUUGAACGGCAUCGUUUGAUUUUGAAAGCUCCGGCGGUUUGAGAUGAGUAUGCGUCUGAUUAGCUAGUUGGUGAGGUAACGGCUCACCAAGGCGACGAUCAGUAGGGGAUCUGAGAGGACUAACCCCCACACUGGUACUGAGACACGGACCAGACUCCUACGGGAGGCAGCAGUAAGGAAUAUUGGUCAAUGGAGGCAACUCUGAACCAGCCAUGCCGCGUGCAGGAUGACGGCCCUAUGGGUUGUAAACUGCUUUUAUACAAGAGAAAACCCUGGUACGUGUACCAGGUUGAUAGUAUUGUAAGAAUAAAGCAUCGGACUAACUUACGUGCCAG